rfam:Hordeum vulgare subsp. vulgare, WGS project CAJW01000000 data, contig: morex_contig_44592
UUAGUACUCCCUCCGUCCGGAAUUACUUGUCACAGAAAUGGAUACAAAUGGAUGUAUCUAGAACUAAAAUACAUUUAGAUACAUCCAUUCCUACGUCAAGUAUUUUCGGACGGAGGGAGUAAUAA